GCCUCUCGAAGGCGGGGCUAGGUCCACUCAGGCGUCUUGCACAGCUGAAUGGUUGCCAUGGGAGAUCAAAGGAUUUCUCAAACACGCAUGAAAGAAUCGAGGCAACACUCCUGGUAUGUUUGUGAUGAGUGAAUAACAUUAUGACAGGAUGUAAAAGCU